ACCUGGUUUUAGAGACCUGGUCCUCAGAGGGCAGGAAGGGGUUGUUGACGGUGGCUGAGGAGGUGUUUCCAAAGGCGGUGAGGCCAAGCAGUUUGAUCUGUGACAGGCCCAGGGUGCUGGCGUCGCGGGGCCGGUGCAGCCUCAGACACACGGCGGACGCCACCUCAGCCUUCACCAGCUGGAUCUUGAUGUAGGUGAGGCCGCUGGUGAUGAUGGGCGUGGACAGAGGCAGCAUGUUGACCCCGUCCGCGCUGAUCUCAACCGAGACCGAGGAAGGGCAGGCUGGGGAGAGGACAAAAGGGACAUCGUCAGGGUUAGCGAUAAUAGAUGGUGGAAUAUGUUCAACUUUAUUUUCUUCAACUGGUACUGUCUGGCACAAUGGUGUGUUGUGUUUGAUAGAAGCAUGAAAAAGGUUUUGCAUAUUUCAAAUGGCACUAUAGUCGACAGCGGCAGGUUAAUAUUUGAGUGGGUGAAAUAAGUUAGUCAUGAGGAAAACUACUCUUAAGGGGAAAGUAGACAAUGUGCCCUUUAGGCUCUAAAGCAGAGUGGCACAGCUUUCUUACUGGUACCGGAGCUGCAGUCCUGCUGGUUUUCACUUAAAUGAUCAAUUAGACAACUAAGGUCAUUGCUUUGCAAGAGAUUUCGCUGAACUGUUUCUAUUUAAUUCAGUCUCCUAUUUAGACAACUCGUCUGCACUAGUGUCCCCCAGCGGGCCCGUGGUGCAGUACUCACUGGCGAGAGAGGCCAGGUGUGGUUGGAUGUGCAGCUCUUUGAGCAGAACAGCGGCAGGAAGGUGGAUGGUGAGGAUGGGCUGCAGCAUGACCUGCACCGAGGUGGCUCUCUUGCUCAGGGUGGUGAGGAUGGUGAAAAGGCCGUCUCCUACAGAGAUGGCAUCUAGUCCUCCAUGGAAAUUCUCAUGCUUGGUCAGGUGGAGACCACUAGCACCUGAAGACAGGAAGGUAAAGCGUUAUCAAUAAGAAGCACUUGAAUAUCUUAUCCGCUAAUCCGGGAUCCCUCUAAAUAAACGCUUUCUAAAAAGGGACGUGUGAGGAUAAGGCCUACCUAUGAUCAUAGCCAUGGCGCUGCUGUUGCACUGGCCCAGAGCCGAGAGGAUCUGGCUCAUGAUCUGCUGGUUGGCCAGCACCAGGUCAGCCACUCCGGCCGCAGGGCCCUGGUUAGGGGUGGACCCGCCCGCUGCCCCCUCCUUGCUGCCGCACACCUUCUCCUCGUCCGACACGCUGCUGUCCGACGCCCCGCUGCCCGCCGGCGGCAGACGCCCGCUGAACUCGCGGUCGCCCGACAGGGGCAGCUGGACCAGGGCGUUGACCAGCUUGAGCAGGUCGAACAUGAGUUGGUCGCGUGUGGUCUCGCCGCACACCGCCUUGGCGUCGCCGGGCCGGAUGAUGUUGGCGAAUAGGCCUCCGAAGCAGGCGCGGGCACCCACAGCGCUGUCGGAACCGCUGCGGGACACCACCUUGUCAGAGCAGGUGAUGUAGUGAUGCACCAGGAAGGUGAUGGACUCGAUGACAGAGGAGAUGGUGCUAACUGACACCACCUCAAAGUUCUGCUCCAGGGUGAACUCUAACAGCUUGACCUGGGCGUCCAGAGGACCCUGGCCUGACUGGAACGGACCCCUGAAGGAUGGGCAGAGGAGAAAAGAUGGGAUCAUUGACGAAGGUGCUUCCUAACAAAUCAUUGUACUGUUUUGUGUUGGAAUCAAAAGGAUUGCUUUUGUUCCAGCCCAGCUCCAACACAGAUAAAUUGAAGACGAUGAUUAGUUAUAAUUUGAAUUACGCGUCUUAAGUGCUGGCGUGAAACAAAAGCUGCUUAUGAUGUCUCUAGAGUAGACAACCUACCUCUCAGUGGACAGGAUGUGCAUUAGUUUGAGCAGGAACUCACUGAACAUCUGUGGGCAGGUGGAAGAGAGAUGCACCUGGAGUCUGGUGAGGAACUCCUGCAUAGCUUGGGUGGCGGUGGGGCCGACCUGGGAGCUGUGCUGGCUGGUGCCGUGGGGGUUGCUCCCAGACAGGAAACGCACGAGCACGUGCACCAGCGUAGGGUCCGACACCAUCUGCUGGGCCGUGCUCUCAUGAGCUCCCAUCCCACUGCUGGAGGCUAAGGAACAGAGACACACAGGACCAAAACACACUUGAUUAAAAAGGAGUACUAUUGAAAGUCCUUUGGCCUCGUUUACAUCUUCGGUUACACUGCAUAUUCAAUAUGGACUUACUAUUUCGCAAUCCUCGAAUGGGAAACGUCAGUCAGAGUUGUUGUCAGACACUGUCUUGAGAGUGAAACCCUAGGAAUGGUGGACUUACCACAGGAAGGCAUGUUGGUCAUGAGGGUAAGGGAGUGCAGCACCAGGCACCAGGUCCUCAGGGAGGUGUUGGGGUACCAGGCUAGCACCGACAGGAAACUGUUGAUAGAGGCUGCAGGGAAACACAGGGGACAGCAGUUUAACAUACUAACACGUACACUUCCCCGUGUGGAAGGGAAAACAGUGAAUGAUUCACGCAAGAGAAAUCCAGUGGUUUGAGAGUUAAGCGGCGAAAGGGAGUGAACGGAGACACACACAGGGUGACCUCUGACCUUGGUUGAGUGGGAUGGUGGGCACUCUGCUGGCGUUGAACAGGAAAAUAUCCGAUCCACUUUCCUCAGUGCCCCCAGAGCAGGAGUUGAGACUGAGGGUCAGCCACAGUUGCAGCAGAGACUCCAUCUAAGUCAGAAAGACAUGUGAACACUUCAUCUACAAAUCCACUUAUCCAGGGUAAGCAACGUAUUCUUGACAACGGUACAGUACGUUACCUCUACUGCCACAUCCUUACAAAACUGUGUUGAGGGAUGUAAAAAACACAGUGAAGUGCAACAAGUCAUUCAAGUCUUCUGGAGUAGCAGAGCCCUUGGACUACACCGUCUGUUGGUGACUGACCUGUACGUGGUGCACCUGGAGCAUGGAGAAGAGCUUGUUGAAGCAGGC
rnacentral:lncRNA from 1 species